GACGAACGCUGGCGGCGUGCUUAACACAUGCAAGUCGAACGGAAAGGCCUGCUUUCCCUUGUGGUUUGCGGGUACUCGAGUGGCGAACGGGUGAGUAACACGUGAGUGAUCUGCCCCCAACUUGGGUAUAAGCCUGGGAAACUGGGUCUAAUUCCCGAUAGGACUGCAGGGUGGUGCCGGUGGUGGAAAACGAUUUUCUAGUGGUUGGGGAUGAGCUCGCGGCCUAUCAGCUUGUUGGUGGGGUAAUGGCCUACCAAGGCGGCGACGGGUAGCCGGCCUGAGAGGGGCGACGGCGACAGUGGGACUGGGAUACGGCCCAGACUCCUACGGGAGGCAGCAGUGGGGAGUCAUGGACAGUGGGCGGAAGCCUGAUGCAGCGACGCCGCGAGGGGGAUGACGGGCUUCGGGUGGUAAACUCCUUUCGACCGCGAGGAAGCCACCUGGUUGGAAGGGUGGUGACGGUAGUGGUAGAAGAAGCACCGGCUAACUACGUG
rnacentral:rRNA from 1 species